CAUGCAAGUCGAACGAGAGAUGAGGAGCUUGCUCUUCAAAUCGAGUGGCGAACGGGUGAGUAACGCGUGAGGAACCUGCCUCAAAGAGGGGGACAACAGUUGGAAACGACUGCUAAUACCGCAUAAGCCCACGGCUCGGCAUCGAGCAGAGGGAAAAGGAGCAAUCCGCUUUGAGAUGGCCUCGCGUCCGAUUAGCUAGUUGGUGAGGUAACGGCCCACCAAGGCGACGAUCGGUAGCCGGACUGAGAGGUUGAACGGCCACAUUGGGACUGAGACACGGCCCAGACUCCUACGGGAGGCAGCAGUGGGGAAUAUUGCACAAUGGGGGAAACCCUGAUGCAGCGACGCCGCGUGGAGGAAGAAGGUCUUCGGAUUGUAAACUCCUGUUGUUGAGGAAGAUAAUGACGGUACUCAACAAGGAAGUGACGGCUAACUACGUGCCAGCAGCCGCGGUAAAACGUAGGUCACAAGCGUUGUCCGGAAUUACUGGGUGUAAAGGGAGCGCAGGCGGGAGAACAAGUUGGAAGUGAAAUCCAUGGGCUUAACCCAUGAACUGCUUUCAAAACUGUUUUUCUUGAGUAGUGCAGAGGUAGGCGGAAUUCCCGGUGUAGCGGUGGAAUGCGUAGAUAUCGGGAGGAACACCAGUGGCGAAGGCGGCCUACUGGGCACCAACUGACGCUGAGGCUCGAAAGUGUGGGUAGCAAACAGGAUUAGAUACCCUGGUAGUCCACACCGUAAACGAUGAUUACUAGGUGUUGGAGGAUUGACCCCUUCAGUGCCGCAGUUAACACAAUAAGUAAUCCACCUGGGGAGUACGACCGCAAGGUUGAAACUCAAAGGAAUUGACGGGGGCCCGCACAAGCAGUGGAGUAUGUGGUUUAAUUCGACGCAACGCGAA
rnacentral:rRNA from 1 species